AUGGCGAUGGCAGGCAGGAGGCGCCCCGAUCUCCUCCUGCGCUGCCGCGCCAAUCUCUCGGCCCGUAAUCCGCCGAGAUCCAACCUUUCCACCAACUCCGGCCGGAGUCCGUCCGAACCCGCCGACCCGGCCCGCGCGGCGUCGAUCCUGGCCGAGAAGGACUGGUUCGCGCGGCUCAACUCGGAGUUCGCCGCCGCGCUGCCGCGCCUGGGCCCGCGCUUCGUGGUCCGCGUGCUGCACGCCGCCGUGCCCCUCGAGCCCCGCCUCUGCGUCCGCCUCUACGUUUGGGCGUCGCGGUUCGGGACCCACUUCGCGCGCGACGCCUCGGUGCGGCGGGCCCUGGAGGACGCGCUGUGGCGGCGCGGGCCGCUGGUGCUGUCCGCGGCGCUGGUGGCGGAGGUCAGGGGCUGCGGGUGCGAGGUCUCCGAGGAGCUGCUCUGCUCCAUGAUCGCCAGCUGGGGCAGGCUGGGCCUCGCGCAGUACGCGCACGAGGUGUUCGUGCAAAUGCCGCGCCUCGGGCUGAGGCCCAGCACCGCGGUGUACAACGCCCUGAUCGCGGCGUCCGUGAGGGCUGGGGCCGUCGACACGGCGUACCUCAGGUUCCAGCAGAUGCCUGCGGACGGGUGCCAGCCGGACUGCUUCACCUACAACACACUCGUUCACGGGGUCUGUCGUAGUGGGAUCGUCGAUGAGGCGCUCCGGCUGGUGAGGCAGAUGGAGGGCGUCGGGAUCAAGCCGAAUGUGUUCACUUACACGAUGUUGGUUGAUGGGUUCUGCAAUGCUGGCAGGCCAGAGGACGCACUUCAUGUGUUCAAUACGAUGAAGGAUAAGGGUGUAUCACCGAACGAGGCCUCGUACAGGACUUUGGUUCAUGGUGCAUUCCGGUGCUUGGGGAGCCACAAGGCGUAUGAGAUGCUUAGUGAGUGGAUAGGACGUCAGCCUCCACUGCACCCAAGUGCGUGGCAUACUAUGCUGUAUUGCUUAUCAAAGAAUGGGAUGGCCAAAGAGGUAGUUGAGGUCGUGAAGAAGAUGAAAACUAGGGGUCUUCUCCUUGACAAUGCAAUGUUUGGCAUUGUGGUCUCUUGUGCUGUGAAGUGCCUGGAGUUGAGUGAUUUGUGUGAGUUGGUUGAUGAUUUCGUAAAGAAAGGCGGGAAUCCUGGAUUUCAUGUCUAUAUUAUGAUCAUCAAAUCCUUACUGGACUGCAGAAGUUCUUCAAAGGCAAACCACUAUUUAGAGCGCAUGGUUUUGGAUGGGCUCUUGUCUAGUGUGGCAUCUUAUAACAUGGUGAUAGAUUGCUUUGUCAAGGAAGGUGCAGUGGAUAGGGCAGUGGAGAUUAUAAAACAGAUGCGAGAGAAAGGUUUCCUUCCAAACCUUGUUACCUUUAAUAUACUGAUAAGUGGUUACUCAAAGUUAGGGGAUGUACAUAAUGCAAAGGCCGUUCUUAAGAUGCUUAUGGAACAUGGUUUCAUGCCAGAUAUCAUUACUUUUACCUCCCUCAUUGACGGGCUAUGCCAUGCCCAUCAAAUGGAUGAUGCGUUUGAUUGCUUCAGUGAGAUGGCAGAGUGGGGUGUUAGACCAAAUGCUCAUACUUACAAUGUACUAAUGCGUGCGCUUUGUUCAGUAGGGCACGUUAACAAGGCCAUUGAUCUUCUUAAUAAAAUGAAAAUAGACGGCAUUACUCCCGAUGCAUAUUCCUUCAAUGCUCCCAUUUUGAGUUUUUGCAGAAUGAAGAAAGUAGAUAAAGCUCGUAGUAUUUUUAAUGCCAUGCUGAGAUUAGGUGUUGUUCCAGACGGUUACACAUGCAACAUCCUGAUUAAAGCUCUGUGUGAUGAAAGAAGAGUUGAUGAUGCCAAAGAAAUUCUAGCUGCAACAGAGUCUAGUUGCUGUACUGUGACCGAUCAUCAUCACUCAUACUGGCCAAUUGUUUCUGCACUUACUAAAAUGGGUCGAUUCAGUGAGGCAGGACAGUUGAUGAACAAAUGUCACAUCAGAAAUGUUCAGUUGGAUUGUGGUUCUAAUCGUACCAGAGAGCCUGCAAUUCAUGCCUGA
rnacentral:rRNA from 1 species